rnacentral:piRNA from 1 species
CGGGAAUUUUCUUGGUGCUAU